rnacentral:misc_RNA from 1 species
CAAGCCAUUGUUAUCAAAAGCUACAUAGUUGGAAAUAAGAGUUCAGUCUCGCUAAUUAGAAAACCUUCUAAAGUUUUUCAAGGUGAAGAAUCUAGAAAACAUCACGAUGAUUUCAGGAUAUUAGAAAGAAAUUCCAAAUCUAAAUUUUGCAGCAGCUUAGAAAUAUCACAUUGGACCUAAAAAAUGAACCCCAUCUGAUUGAAUAUAAUCAUUAAACAGAAGCUAAGCUGCUUCAGCUGAAAUAGAUUCUGUACCAAAAACAUUCUUUAUCUCUAGCAUGGAGGCAGAUGCCAACAAUAAACGUUCACAUUAAAGUGGGGCAUCUCAUUUACCAUGCAGUUAAUAAAUAUAUCUAUCAAGCAAUCUUGCAGGUUAUUAAAUCCCUAGAUGAGGUGCCAGUAUGAUCCAGCAACACUAAUAUAAGCUCACGAAACUUUAUCCUUUAUUCCAAAAUUGAAAUUUCACUUACGUCUGCAAAAGGUAUGCGGACUCUAAUGUUAGUGUUCAAAAUAAAAUUUCUUGAGCUUGUAAGGCCCUCUAAGUGGGCAAAUAGCAUCAGCAAAGGCAUCUGACUGAUUAAAUUCCCAUCAAUUCCCAUAAUUGAAUCACAGUUUAUAUGCAAAAUACACCUUCACACAAAUGUUUUAGUUGCAGAAAAAGAUUGGAUGACAAACAUGACACGUGUUUGAGAUUACCAAAACUCAAAUUGAGCAUACAAUCAAAUUAUCAAGGUACUCACAUUUUUCACUCCUUCCUGCUGUAU